GCUCAUAUCAAUUAGCUAGCUAGUAUUAGCAUUUAACUUAUUAAUCCUGUCAGGUUAGCUCAUAUCAAGGAGCUAGCUAGUGUUAGCAUUUAAUUUAUAAAUCCUGUCAGGUUAGCUCAUGAGAGCCAUCUGGCUAUCUUUAGUAGUUUAACUUAUUAAACUGCCACAAGAUCACAUCCAUAUAGUGUUUUAUUCCUCUUAUACCACAACAAUUCUAACAAUUUCUUUCCAUUUAUAGUUACUUACCUUAUAGCAGCUAUAAACAGAGGUUACCUGUCCAGCCUCUUAUUUUCUCUCUCUUUUGAAGUUAAUAAGACAAAAAAAAAAGGCACCGUGUCAUCCUGUUAUCUUACCUCACGGGAAAAAAAAAACAACAACAACAACUGGGAAGUGCAAAGUUUUGCUUCCUGCACUGGAAGUAGUACUACUAGGGGCGGGGCUAGCAGAACUGAUCAUUGCUGAUUGGUUCUGCAGACCUGUUCACACAGUUUGUGAAGUCUGUAUAUUAUUCAGCUUUGUUUGUGACACUUUGUGGGUAUCGUUUUUACUGCGUUGACUUGUGUUAUUUUCAUUUCAUCACUUUUUCUGCCACAGAUUAAAAUAAAAAAUUAAACAAUGCGUAUGUUUUGUUUUUUCUUCUUCUUUUAUUUUUCAGUAUAAUGGCCCAAAUGAAGUCUUUUCAUGAGUAAAAUUGUGGCAGCUGGUUAAUCGGUCACCAAGACGACGGAUGUUAAUCCAAGCAGGUCUUCUACAUUGGUCGUUGUGACCAUUCCAGUUAUCAGCUGAGUGAAAAACGGACUAGAACCAGAAAUCCAGGUUCUAUCGGUUCAUCUUUGGGCCAGUUCUUGUAUAAAAACAUGUUCUCCGAGGAUGUUUGUAUUGAGGUUGUUCUCACCACUCGCUUGCUAUCCGAGAGCUUAAUCAGGACCAGAACAAAAAAAACAAACCCUUACCUAUGCUGACCAGGUGGACUCCAGGGAUGUGGAGUUGGAAACACUGGCUUACUACACUGCAGAAAUGGCUGUAGUUA
ensembl:lncRNA